GAUGAACGCUGGCGGCGUGCCUAAUACAUGCAAGUCGAGCGAACAGACGAGGAGCUUGCUCUUCUGACGUUAGCGGCGGACGGGUGAGUAACACGUGGAUAACCUACUUAUAAUACUGGGAUAACUUCGGGAAACCGGAGCUAAUACCGGAUAAUAUAUUGUACCGCAUGGUUCAAUAGUGAAUGACGGCUUUGCUGUCACUUAUAGAUGGAUCCGCGCCGCACUAGCUAGUUGGUAAGGUAACGGCUUACCAAGGCUACGAUGCGUAGCCGACCUGAGAGGGUGAUCGGCCACACUGGAACUGAGACACGGUCCAGACUCCUACGGGAGGCAGCAGUAGGGAAUCUUCCGCAAAGGGCGAAAGCUUGACGGAGCCACGCCGCGUGAGUGAUGAAGGUCUUCGGAUCGUAAAGCUCUGUUAUUGGGGAAGAACAGAUGUGUAAGUAACUAUGCACGUCUUGACGGUACCUAAUGAGAAAGCCACGGCUAACUACGUG
rnacentral:rRNA from 1 species